rnacentral:rRNA from 1 species
CAGUCGCCGCGGUAAAACGUAGGUCCCGAGCGUUGUCCGGAUUUAUUGGGCGUAAAGCGAGCGCAGGCGGUUAGAUAAGUCUGAAGUUGAAGGCUGUGGCUUAACCAUAGUACGCUUUGGAAACUGUUUAACUUGAGUGCAAGAGGGGAGAGUGGAAUUCCAUGUGUAGCGGUGAAAUGCGUAGAUAUAUGGAGGAACACCGGUGGCGAAAGCGGCUCUCUGGCUUGUAACUGACGCUGAGGCUCGAAAGCGUGGGGAGCAAACAGGAUUAGAUACCCCAGUAGUCCCUGUCUCUUAUACA